UGUAACGUCCAUACCAAGUUGAAUACACCGGUCCGGUUCUCGUCCGGUCGCUGGAGUUAAGCAACGUCGGGCGCGGUCAGUACUUGGAUGGGUGACCGUCUGGGAACACCGCGUGACUUUGGCU
rnacentral:rRNA from 1 species